CCUACGGGGGGCUGCAGUGGGGAAUAUUGCACAAUGGGGGAAACCCUGAUGCAGCAACGCCGCGUGAGCGAUGAAGGCCUGCGGGUCGUAAAGCUCUGUCCUAAGGGAAGAAUACUGACGGUACCUUAGGAGGAAGCCCCGGCUAACUACGUGCCAGCAGCCGGGGUAAUACGUAGGGGGCUAGCGUUAUCCGGAAUUACUGGGCGUAAAGGGUGCGUAGGCGGGCCUUCAAGUCAGAGGUGAAAGGCUAAGGCGCACCCGUAGUAAGCCUUUGAAGCUCUUGGGCUUGAGUGUAGGAGAGGAGAAUGGAAUUCCCAUUGUAGCGGUGAAAGGCACAGCUAUUCCGUGGACCACAGGUUGCGAAGCGGGCUCUCUGGACUGUAACUGACGCUAAGGCGCGACAGCGUGGGCGCCCAACAGGAUUAGAUCCCCUCGUAGUC
rnacentral:rRNA from 1 species